CACCAUUGAGGCAGGCAGACAGCCUUGGCCCUGGUCUAUCUGCAUAUAACUACAGCCUGUAUCCCAUCAUCUACCCUCCACCCUCUUUCAGCUUCCUCAUCCUCACCAUGAAAAUCGCAGGCACAUGUCCCGUCAAAUGCCGUCUAUGCCGGCGGCUCAUGUGGUGGUACGAAUUCGAAGCUCACCUGAUUGCUACCCACGAAAUCCUGUGUGCCGGAGAUAUGACGGAGCUCAUGUCUCUGAUCAUGUUCAACCGGGACACCAUCGACCGCUCUGAUCCAAUAACGCCUCAGUGGCCACAGACAAUUCCUUCAGCUCCGAGAGUGAAGUAAACUACCCACUCAACCACUGCUCACACCAUAAAUCCGCUAACUCCAAAGUGUUCGGAGCACCCUUCACACACCGACGAUAGAGUCGAUCUGCUGGCCAGAUGGAUUUUGUCACAGUAGCUAUCUCCAGAUAUAGAUAUGCUGCUCGGCUGCUUGCUCUUGGCGGUGGCCUCUUUUUCUUCUUUUUACAACAUAUGCCGCUACUUGUAGCUUGGCGAUGUCAGAUACAACAUCGGUCAUUUGUACUAACAAUGAAUACUUUAAAGGAUGCUAUAAUAUUGGCUG
rnacentral:misc_RNA from 1 species